GCGCCCGUAGCUCAAUUGGCAGAGCAGGACCCUUCUAAGGUCUCGGUUGGGGGUUCGAAUCCCUCCGGGCGUGCCA
rnacentral:tRNA from 2 species